rnacentral:lncRNA from 1 species
GACGUCAGGUGGAGCUGGUGCUGCGGCCACUGAGGCUGCCAUCAGCCUAAGCUGGUGAACUGGGCCAGGCACCGCUCCGGUGCCUGCCGGAGCCUGGCGAUCCAGCUGCACGUCUGCGGGGGCCUCUGUGUCAGAGCGGCGGCCGUUUGCAGGCUGGGAAGCUGCCGCACCGGGAGGCUGAGACUGCAUUGUUGGGAUUUGAUGCACUAAUCUCCUGUCUCCGCCGCCUUUCCCUCUGUUCGGUCUCUUGCCCUCCCUCCCUUCGUCUGUCCUUCCUCCGUGUGUUUGUCUAUCCUCCUCUGUCCCUCCUCUUUCCUCUCCUUGCUUUCUUUGGUUUUCUGCAAUGAUGAGACAGGCACCGACAGCCCGAAAGACCACAACUCGGCGACCCAAGCCCACGCGCCCAGCCAGUACUGGGGUGGCUGGGGCCAGUAGCUCCCUGGGCCCCUCUGGCUCAGCGUCAGCAGGUGAGCUGAGCAGCAGUGAGCCCAGCACCCCGGCUCAGACUCCGCUGGCAGCACCCAUCAUCCCCACGCCGGUCCUCACCUCUCCUGGAGCAGUCCCCCCGCUUCCUUCCCCAUCCAAGGUAAGGCCUGGGGUAGGGGUAAAGGAGAAUCAAGACACCCAGAGGCUUGUGGCUACCCGCUGUGUCUUGAAAAUUUCCUGGGGUUGGCAAAGACCUAGAACUUGGAUCAGAAAGGGUGAGGACAUAGCCUAUGGAUAUCUUGCUACUGACUGAGCCAUCCUUUCCUUUCUUGCCCUUAUG